GAUGACCAACAUCACUAUUGUGAUGUACAUUUGUGUUAGGGACUGUUGACUGUGGAAUUGUUACACUGGAGAAAUGGAUGUGUCAAGUCUUUCCAAGGGGACAAAGAAAUCGAAGUUAAGAAUCGAAAAGGAGUCAUCAAAACAACACCAGAAGCAGAAUGUAUCUGUUAAAUUGAAAUGUCUGUCAAAUGCCAACACCAAACUGAAAAUAAAUCAAAAUGAACAAGGAAACCGAAUUGUAGAAAUACUUUGAAGGAAAUAAAAGAUGAAAUUCUA